rnacentral:piRNA from 1 species
UGAGCAUGGAUGUGUCAUCACCUAUGU